rnacentral:rRNA from 1 species
AUNACUGGCUCAGGAUGAACGCUAGCUACAGGCUUAACACAUGCAAGUCGAGGGGCAGCAUUCUUCUAGCAAUAGAAGAGAUGGCGACCGGCGCACGGGUGAGUAACACGUAUCCAACCUACCGAUAACUCCGGAAUAGCCUUUCGAAAGAAAGAUUAAUACCGGAUAGUAUACGAAUAUCGCAUGAUAUUUUUAUUAAAGAAUUUCGGUUAUCGAUGGGGAUGCGUUCCAUUAGUUUGUUGGCGGGGUAACGG